rnacentral:rRNA from 1 species
UUGCUUAUACAUUCCAAUUGAAUAUACCCGAUCUCGUCUGAUCUCGGAAGUCAAGCAAUCUCGGGCUUGGUUAGUACUUGGAUGGGUGACCGCUUGGGAAUACCAAGUGUGAUAAGCAUU